CACGUAGUUAGCCGGGGCUUUCUUCUCAGAUACCGUCACUCCGGUAGCAGUUACUCUACCGGACGUUCUUCUCUGGCAACAGAGUUUUACGACCCGAAAGCCUUCUUCACUCGCGCGGCGUUGCUCGGUCAGACUUUCGUCCAUUGCCGAAGAUUCCCUA
rnacentral:rRNA from 1 species